UGUGGCAGUAUAUCUGCCGAACCACCGGAGAGUGUUAUGGAGGCCUACGAGCAGGUCCAAAAGGGACCCCUGAAGCUGAAAGGCGUCGCAGAGCUGGGAGUGACCAAGCGGAAGAAGAAAAAGAAGGACAAAGACAAAGCGAAACUCCUGGAAGCAAUGGGAACGAGCAAAAAGAACGAGGAGGAGAAGCGGCGCGGCCUGGACAAGCGGACCCCGGCCCAGGCGGCCUUCGAGAAAAUGCAGGAGAAGCGGCAGGGCCAUCAGACUUCCUACACAGCAACUGGCUUCCAAGGGCACAAAGCUAACGCUGCCAGGUCUUAUGCAUGGACCCAGAACUGGUACUGCGUUCCUUUGAGUUAACUGAGUCCACGGCCAGCAAAUGGAAAGGAUCCUAAAGAAAGCAUCCAAAACCCACAAGCAGAGAGUGGAGGACUUCAACAGACACCUGGACACACUCACGGAGCAUUAUGAUAUUCCCAAAGUCAGCUGGACGAAGUAGCCACCUGUCCCGGUAUAGAGCAGCAUCGAGGAUUCGCAAAAGACCACCCUGGGGUUGGGUGUGUUUCCUUUGGUAUAUUCUAGAAACAUGGCUUUACACACACCCUUGCAUCUUCUGCUACAGACUGCUUUUCGAAGCUGUGUGCCCUCAUUCUGGAACUUGAUUAAAGUAAGAUUGUCCUUGUACUCAGUUGAGGCUUCUUGGCAACGUACAGAAGAUACACCCUUUUCGUUUGGAUGGAAAGUUUCUAAGUUUAUCCAGAGGUAAAGCCCAUUGUGUGUCCGUGCCAUGUAAAAAUGUUUUCACCCCUGAGUUGCAUCUAACGCUGUGAGGCCAGCCAGCUGUCUUCUCCUGGAUGAGACAGACUCCAGAGGAUAAGGAGCUAGCGCCAUGGUGGCCUGCAGUGUGCAGAGCCCCGCAGGACCCAGCGUGGGCACCCUUCCAAGCUUCCUCUAGCUUCGGGCCUAUGCUGUCCCCCGCAGGCCCCAGGGAAGUCACUUGCGACUCUGUGGCCUUCAGACUUCCUCCUCAGCCACCUAGCCACUGAGACAGUGCAGCCUGGGCAGCAGAACAGCCACCUAAGGCAAGAAUGGAACAGACACACCUUGUUCCUUUCUGAGUCCGUUCCCCAAAACCCUCCUUCCAGGUACUUCUAAUGGGUGUUUCCAUAGCAGACGUUGCUAAUGCAUCACAGCGUUCUCUGAAAUGAAACCCAGACACAGCCUGCCUCUCAAUCCUCAGCUGGGGGCUGCUAGCAGCCUCUUAUAUUUACUCAGAGUAAAUCACAUGGAUCCUGUUUGGCAUUCCUGCCGUACGGACGCCUCAGGGGUGACAGGACCAGGGCAGAGCCCCAGUACAAACAGGCAAGGCUGCAGUCAAAUGGGAGGGCCCAGGUGUUCGUGUUGGAGGGCUGGGAUCUUGUAGGGCCUAUGCGUCUUGGUUGAGGAUCAAACCACAUAUGCUGUUGGGAGAAACGAUCUCUGUCAACAUAGAUACUGAAAGAAUAAUGAAGGCAGAAGAGAAAAACCAAGUGUGGAGUUCAGGGUUGUCCUGUGUAAAUUACACAAUAAAGCAAAAGCCAGUU